GAUUAUCGAGUUCUGGGUUUAAGGUCAAAGCACAAUGGAUACAUUGAUUGGAUGAACGAUUCCAAGUUGCUGCUGCUAUGACUUGAUUCUACUGCAGUUGUUAUUACGAUUACGGUAAACCGAGUUUUAUGUGUUUGAUUUCCAUUUGAUGAACAUUUUGUGAGUUGUUGAUAAAAAGUAAUAUGAGUUCAGUUUCGUUAUGCAUGUUGUGAUUUGAACACAGGUUCAAGUUAGUAGUCGAUUUGAGUUUGAUUUUGAUCACAUAGAUUUCUUCUAUUCUGUUUCGGUUCAUAUAGGCGAUUUAUGUGUGAAACUGUGUGCUAUUGGUGAUAACAGUUAAGAUCUUCAAUUCUAUUUUGAGUUGUAGCAAAUGAUUUCCUCAUUCUGUCAUAUUGUUUCUUAAACUAUAUUGAAGUUAAAGUUAGUUUCUACCAGGAUAUAAAUCUCAAAGCUUAUUCCAAAUUUUUGGGUUAA
rnacentral:lncRNA from 1 species